rnacentral:rRNA from 1 species
GGUCAUUUAGAGGAAGUAAAAGUCGUAACAAGGUUUCCGUAGGUGAACCUGCGGAAGGAUCAUUAUCGUAGGGCUUCGGCCCUGUCGAGAUAGAACAUGCUCCGUGAUAGUCGCUCGUGAUUUCCUCGGCAGGCUCGCCUGCCAAUGGAUGCUCGAAAAAACACUUUGCAGUACCUGUAACAGUCUGAACAAACAAAACAAAAAUUAAAACUUUCAACAACGGAUCUCUUGGUUCUGGCAUCGAUGAAGAACGCAGCGAAAUGCGAUAAGUAGUGUGAAUUGCAGAAUUCAGUGAAUCAUCGAAUCUUUGAACGCACAUCGGCUCGUAGAUGCUGCUCGUGAUCAUGCCUGUUCGAGCGUCAUUUAAACCUUCAAGCUAAGCUUGGUGUUGGGUGACUGUCCGCUUCACUGCGGACUCGCCUCAAAAUUAUUAUGCUCCGUGAUAGUCGCUGCUGAUAGAGCAGAAACGCGAACUCGGGCCCGUCGUAUUGGCUCCCAGAAGCUAUCUUCACAAUUUUGACCUCGGAUCAGGUAGAUGCUCGCUGAUAGUUUAAGCAUAUCAAUAAGCGGAGGAUAGAGUCGCUCGUGAUAGUCGCUCGG